UAGAAGUGAGAAUGCCGGUAUGAGUAGCGAAAGACAGGUGAGAAUCCUGUCCACCGUAAGACUAAGGUUUCCAGGGGAAGGCUCGUCCGCCCUGGGUUAGUCGGGACCUAAGGAGAGACCGAAAGGUGUAUCCGAUGGACAACAGGUUGAUAUUCCUGUACUAGAGUAUAUAGUGAUGGAGGGACGCAGUAGGCUAACUAAACCAGACGAUUGGAAGUGUCUGGCCAAGCAGUGAGGUGUGAUAUGAGUCAAAUGCUUAUAUCUAUAACAUUGAGCUGUGAUGGGGAGCGAAGUUUAGUAGCGAAGUUAGUGAUGUCACACUGCCGAGAAAAGCUUCUAGCGUUAAUUAUACUCUACCCGUACCGCAAACCGACACAGGUAGUCGAGGCGAGUAGCCUCAGGUGAGCGAGAGAACUCUCGUUAAGGAACUCGGCAAAAUGGCCCCGUAACUUCGGGAGAAGGGGCGCUGACUUAUGGUCAGCCGCAGUGAAUAGGCCCAAGCAACUGUUUAUCAAAAACACAGCUCUCUGCUAAAUCGUAAGAUGAUGUAUAGGGGGUGACGCCUGCCCGGUGCUGGAAGGUUAAGAGGAGUGCUUAGCGUAAGCGAAGGUAUGAAUUGAAGCCCCAGUAAACGGCGGCCGUAACUAUAACGGUCCUAAGGUAGCGAAAUUCCUUGUCGGGUAAGUUCCGACCCGCACGAAAGGCGUAAUGAUUUGGGCACUGUCUCAACGAGAGACUCGGUGAAAUUUUAGUACCUGUGAAGAUGCAGGUUACCCGCGACAGGACGGAAAGACCCCAUGGAGCUUUACUGCAGUUUGAUAUUGAGUAUCUGUACCACAUGUACAGGAUAGGUAGGAGCCUAUGACCUCGGGACGCCAGUUUCGAGUGAGGCGUUGUUGGGAUACUACCCUUGUGUUAUGGCUACUCUAACCCAGAUAGGUUAUCCCUAUCGGAGACAGUGUCUGACGGGCAGUUUGACUGGGGCGGUCGCCUCCUAAAAGGUAACGGAGGCGCCCAAAGGUUCCCUCAGAAUGGUUGGAAAUCAUUCGCAGAGUGUAAAGGUAUAAGGGAGCUUGACUGCGAGAGCUACAACUCGAGCAGGGACGAAAGUCGGGCUUAGUGAUCCGGUGGUUCCGCAUGGAAGGGCCAUCGCUCAACGGAUAAAAGCUACCCUGGGGAUAACAGGCUUAUCUCCCCCAAGAGUUCACAUCGACGGGGAGGUUUGGCACCUCGAUGUCGGCUCAUCGCAUCCUGGGGCUG
rnacentral:rRNA from 1 species